GCUUUAUAAGUAAGAAAAAUUUUGCUGAAAUAAGAAAUAUUAAAAUUAUAUUUUUUCUGUCUUAUUAUGUUGGGGCGACAUAAAUAUAAAUUAUUUAACUGUUUAAAAAUAAAACAUAAAUUGAUGAAUUGAAAAUAAUUGAUCCUUUUUAAAGAUUUAAGUAUAAGUU
rnacentral:rRNA from 1 species